AGAGUUUGAUCCUGGCUCAGAAUCAACGCUGGCGGCGCGCCUAACACAUGCAAGUCGAACGAGAAAGCCCGCAAGGGUGAGUAAAGUGGCGUACGGGUGAGUAACACGUGGAUCAUCUACCCUCUUGUGGGGAAUACCGUUGGGAAACCGACGACAAUACCGCAUAAGCUCGAGAGAGGAAAGCAGAAAUGCGCUGGAGGAGGAGUCCGCGGCUGAUUAGCUAGUUGGUGAGGUAAUGGCUCACCAAGGCUUAGAUCAGUAGCCGGCCUGAGAGGGCACACGGCCACACUGGCACUGAAACACGGGCCAGACUCCUACGGGAGGCAGCAGUGGGGAAUCUUGCACAAUGGGGGAAACCCUGAUGCAGCGACGCCGCGUGAGCGAUGAAGCCCUUCGGGGUG
rnacentral:rRNA from 1 species